rnacentral:rRNA from 1 species
UUCCAGACUCCUACGGGAGGCAGCAGUGGGGAAUAUUGGGCAAUGGACGCAAGUCUGACCCGGCAACGCCGCGUGAAGGAAGAAGGCUUUCGGGUUGUAAACUUCUUUUAAGGGGGAAGAGCAGAAGACGGUACCCCUUGAAUAAGCCACGGCUAACUACGUGCCAGCAGCCGCGGUAAUACGUAGGUGGCAAGCGUUGUCCGGAUUUACUGGGUGUAAAGGGCGUGCAGCCGGAGAGACAAGUCAGAUGUGAAAUCCACGGGCUCAACCCGUGAACUGCAUUUGAAACUGUUUCCCUUGAGUGUCGGAGAGGUAAUCGGAAUUCCUUGUGUAGCGGUGAAAUGCGUAGAUAUUAGGAGGAACACCAGUGGCGAAGGCGACUUUCUGGACUGUACCUGACGCUGAGGCGCGAAAGCGUGGGUAGCGAACGGGAUUAGAUACCCCGGUAA